rnacentral:rRNA from 1 species
GACGAACGCUGGCGGCGUGCCUAAUACAUGCAAGUAGAACGCUGAAGGAGGAGCUUGCUCUUCUGGAUGAGUUGCGAACGGGUGAGUAACGCGUAGGUAACCUGCCUGGUAGCGGGGGAUAACUAUUGGAAACGAUAGCUAAUACCGCAUAACAGUAGAUGUUGCAUGACAUUUACUUAAAAGGUGCAAUUGCAUCACUACCAGAUGGACCUGCGUUGUAUUAGCUAGUUGGUGGGGUAACGGCUCACCAAGGCGGCGAUACAUAGCCGACCUGAGAGGGUGAUCGGCCACACUGGGACUGAGACACGGCCCAGACUCCUACGGGAGGCAGCAGUAGGGAAUCUUCGGCAAUGGACGGAAGUCUGACCGAGCAACGCCGCGUGAGUGAAGAAGGUUUUCGGAUCGUAAAGCUCUGUUGUAAGAGAAGAACGAGUGUGAGAGUGGAAAGUUCACACUGUGACGGUAUCUUACCAGAAAGGGACGGCUAACUACGUG